CACUCAUGAAGAACUGAGGCAAAAGGAUCACAGAUGCUGCUCGGGGCCAGCCCUAUACUCCCUCCAGUGCCUGGUCUCCGGUGGACCCGCGGGGCUCUGCAGUUCUCUGGCGGCCGCGCCUUGUAAGCGCUAAGCCGGGAGGAGGGCGCAGGCAGGGCGCACAGCUCUGAGCGCGACCCUACCCGGCUCGGGCCCGCAGCAACCCCGACUGUCCGAGAGCCUCUCCCCAAGCAAGGCUCUGCGCCGCCCUCUGAGCCCACCUCCUGGCCACAACGCUGCCUGCGCUUCUCCAGCCCAGGCCGGAAGCCCUAUGCUGCCUCCCGAAGCCGGACUUUCUGGAAGCCCAUCUUCGUAUGCUCACCAGCCCACCCUCCUACGCUGGUCAGAGUGAGAUUGCUAACCUCAAGACCCCAUUCAAUGCCAGCUUUCAACUACUGCUGAAGACCAAUGUAGGUCCUGGAAUAGAAGAACUGCAGAGUGUAAGUCUAUUUGACCGGCCCCUCCUCCCUUCCCUCCUUCCAUUCGGCUCCACUCCCGAGCCCAGCCCCCUUUCCAUUCAAUGACCCCCUAAACUAAACCCAAGCAUAAACUCCAGGAUCAUCUCUGAGCCGGACCACAGUAGUGCCCAGGUCACGAUCCGUUCUAAGGGCAAAAGCAGCGGCAGAAAAGUCAGGGGCGGGUGCUCUAGGAGAGAGGGAGACCUGAAACGGAGGGUAGGAUUCAGUUCCGAGCCCACCGGCUGCUGAGGGGAGGAGGCGAAAGGAGGGGGUUGGGAGUCCACGGGCAUUGGGUCGGGGCAGCAGGGACUUCAGGCGACGGCGUGGGGGGCUAGAUCCGGAGGAGAGGGGAGGGGUGGCGGGGGUCGGAGGAGCACGCAGGGCGGAGGGGUGUGGGGCUCUUUAAGAGCCACACGGCUAGCAGGAGAGGCGUGCGGCCCUGUGCUGGUAGCGCACUGACCCCGAAGGGGAUUUAGCGGGAAGGGAGCGACCGGGUUCUGGGGGCUUUGUCCGGGGGCGCCCAGAAAGGCCGAGGCACAAGAAUAAGAAGCGGCUGCAGCGUGAAAGGCUGCGAGGAGCGGCGGCGCUGCUGCUCUUGACUUCUGAGCAGGGCUUAGAAGGCCUGCCCCGGCUUAAGUUGAACUGAGGGUGCUGAGUCCUGAGCGCCGAGUUCAGGAGCCCUGAGUCCUGGCCUCUAGGCUGAGGAGGCGUGGGAUAGGGGCGGACGCUGGAGUAGUGGGUCUUCUUGCGACAACCCCCUCUUGGAUCUUACAGCCUUGCUACCCUAGCGCAAGGUUGUUAGCCUAGCUUGCCGCGUCUGGCAUAGCCAAAGAAAUUUACUUUCCCAGCUUGGCUUUUGCUUUUGUGUGUCCACCUCGAGCAGAUCCGGAGCUGGCCGACCCCAGACUGAUUCUCAACAGGUGGCUGGGUAGUGCCCCCCACCCUGUGUUGGUCGUGCGGGACCCAUCGCACACAGAGAAGCCACCUUACCCCUCACCUCACCCCGUCGGCCAAAGACUGACCACCCGCGCCCGAGUGUGGGGAGGGGUGGGAAUUCCGGAUCACACACACACACACACACACACACACACACCAGGGUAGGGGAACAGGGAAGAUCUUACCUGCAGAAAGGUAAGAGAAGCCGGGAGCGUGUAGCAGCGGCGGAUAAAUAUUCAUUAGGAAGUGUAAGUCCUUUCAAAGGGCUCCGCGCGCGCGCUCUAGCUCCUGUCUCUCUUUCUCUCCCUCCCUCUGUCCUCCAGGAAGGCUUCCCCUCCUCUAGCUAUCUCAACGCCCCCCCCCCCUUCCUGCGAAAUACCGGGUGGAUCCUAGGCUAGCUAACCUGUUGGGAAGCCUGAACUGCGGUAGCGCCUCUGCAGCUAGCAGUUUGCUUUCGCUCCUGGGGCGCGCGUCCCCCCCCAUCCCCUCCCCUCCUUCCUUUCGCCCAGCCCCUCACCCCUCCUAAAUCACUACAUCAUUAGCUUUAUUGGGCGGGGGGGGGGCGGGUAACGGAGCAGCCAGACGCACCUCUCCAUAGAAGGGUGAAUAGUUGGUGCCCUGCGAUGCAACCCCAACUCCAUCUCCACCUCAUUCUCACCCAUCUGCACAUCCUCAUCCAAUCUUGCUUCUUUUUCUUCGCUCUUUCCACCUCCACCUCCAUCCUGUGUCAACCUAACUCCCUCAGCAGCCCUCCCACCCGCCGCCGCCAAUCCGGAUCACAGAUUGGGUUGGGAGUGAGAUUGCAAGGCUGUUAGGUCCGAAGGUCCUGUGUGUCGAGGUUAGAACUCCUCCCUGGCGUGAGUACGGGGUGGUUAUCAAGAUCUCCUUCUCCUUCCUGACCCUGCAAGGUUACCAAACAGCCUGGACUUUUGAAUCAGAUCUCUGGAGCAAGCAUUAAGAACUCCAGCCACACAGAUCUCAGGGCCUGGCCCUUUCACUCAGCCGCGGAGGCUGCUUGAGGGAUGGGGAGAGGUGAUUUCACUCAGCGCCAACGCGCAGGAAAAACUCAUAGACGACAGUCGGACUAAUACUCGUCCCUUAAGAAUGCACUACCUGAAGUUAGUCGCAAGUCAUCUUCAAUCGAGGAAAGGAAAAAAAAAAUCCUCACAUCUAGAAGCUUCGCCGAAGCCACUUCCAACAGCACGCGAACAUGUUCGCGCACACCCUUCUCUGUGCACGCCCCAAAGCCUGCUCUCUCGCGGGCAGGUGAAAAUACAGGCUGCCCAGGCCAGAGGAGAGAAGGCGGCGGAGGAAUACAUCGCUUAGGGUUGUUGAGAAACUAGGAAUAACUGUUUUCAAUACUCUGCUCUGCUACCAGGACCUUAGGUCCCUCUUGGGACCCUGAAAAGUGGCUUUGCCCCACGAUGGGGGGUGGGGGGGCAGUGACUCUAGCUCUGGCCCUCCUACUGGGAGCUUAAAGUUGGGGUGAAGGGUUUAAGGAGGAGCCGAGGGGGCGGGCCCUGUUAGUUUGCAGUUGUAAGUGCAGCUGUGCCUGGGACACCAAGAAGGAGAGUCUCGCCCCCUAAUGCUCACGGUGCUUGCUUAGAGGACCCCCGAGGUUAACUACCGGAGCUUCUGCUCUCUCCUGAGCCCCAGGCCAACACAGGACGAUGGUGGCCGGGAUGCCAGCCGGGAUGCCUAAACACAGUAAGACUUCAGUUGCCUCUCAUUUGGCUGUUCAGAGCUAAUGUCUACCAGAGGAGGUUUUAGAAGUGGGUCGCACCCGUCCUGAAUCCAUCCUGUGAGGUGGCAGAGGGUCAGAGGGUCACUCCUUCUUGUUAAAGGUUAGCAUAAUAAGUAUUAUUAUUACUAGGGUAGAGGAAGAUGUGGAGGAAAAAAAAAGCCUAGGGUGCCUAGGACACUAACCAACCUUACAGCUUACCCAAAGUCCAGAACCUCCCAUUGUACACCUUCUCUCCCCAACACAGAUCCCUAAGGUCUCCUCUUCAUCUGGCAUGUGUGUUCACAGAAGGUACAGUGUGCGAGAACACACUUAGGAAAUUUUAGGAACGCUAACCACAGUACUGGAGGAAUAAAGAUGUGUCGAAGGAAUGGAUGGAAUGCAUGAACACAUACACCUUGUUGUCCAGAUGCAGACAAAAGCUACCAUGUCCGCUUGGAGUGACGCCCAGACACGCACAGAGAUGUACAGGAAGCCAAGGAGAGUGGGAUCCACCAGAGUACAGUACAAGUACAGAGUACAGUGCAAGAUGCCCAGUGGCCCUGGAGAAAAACCUUCGUUGACUCUUCUGUAUGGAAAGUUUCUGAAGAAAGGGCCAAGGAAUGAUCUGCCCCAGAGGCUGCCUUUAGGCUCCCAUACCUGCUCUGUUUGGAGACACCCAGAAGAGGCCAGUACAGCAAAGACUCUUUUUGGUUUGGUUAUUUCUGUUGCUUGUUGUCUUUUUUUCAUCCUUUGCCUGGGAAAUUGUGCUCUGGAAUAGGGCUUGAGUAGACAGCACAGGCCUCCAGUAGAUAACAAGAGAUUCUCAAUCUCCAAUGAGGACAUUCCGUUCUAAGGAAGCUUCCAGAUAGGGGAAAGCCCUGUUUUGUCCCCCUUUUCUCCUCUGAGAUCUGAAAAAAUAGAAAGAAAAAAAAAGAAAA
rnacentral:lncRNA from 1 species